CUUUUCCAGUGUGGGGAAUCACGUGACCCAAAAUGGUACGGAACACGGAAGUCAACAUGGCGGAUUUCUGACUUUUUUACCAAUUUUCAAAGAAAUCGCCAAACCUAAGAAGAAACCGGGUCUGACACUUGGGAAAAAAAGUGGAUAAAGAAGCAAAACAAGAAUAUCAAUAUCAAAGUAACUUUCCAAUUGCCGCAAUCCGUCAAGAAAUCACAAGCGAAAAGGCUGCUUACGCCAUCUAAAUCCCCUAUGUACAACAUAUCUCCAGCAAAUUAAAAAUAAAGUGAAUUUGGUCACCUGACGUUUCCAAAAAAGACCAAAAAAAAACAACAGUUUACAAUAACUCCCGAUGAAAGUCUUCAAGAUCACUUUCUGGACAUGUAGAGGAAAACAGUGAUACCAGAGACGAUGUAGAACGCUUCUUAAACACUGAAUUACUGUGUGAAGAAAUGUGAAGAAAUCACAUGUUCGAUACUGCAAGCAGAAAGAGACUUCCUGUGAGAAGAAAACAGGGUACUGUUAGUACAUCAAGGAACGCAGUUCAGAAAGAAGCUCUGUGUAUAAGGUGGGAGAAGGCUAGGACGAAUGAAUCUAAAAUGCUACCGAUGAAGAGGAUGGGACUGGACUGAGAAGUGCAUAUGAACGAGAAAAGAAAUAGUUACGAUAUCAGUACCGAAAAUAAAAGGAGGAUGAUAUAAAUACAAUUGGAGAAAAGAAAAAAUAUUUGAGUACUUAAUGUGAAAAGGAAUGUGAUAUAAAUCUACACUAAAUGAGACGAGGAAUUUAAUACAAUUGCGGGAAGUGAAAUAGAUACUGACUGAAGAAAGAACCGAUGUUUUUAAUAGUAAACAUUAGGGAAAAAUUGAUAUAUUCAGUAAACGAUGUGAAAACUGUGAGUACAAUCAUGGGGCUAAAUUUUAUGCAAAAGGACAUUAUGUGAUAUAAAUUGGCAUACUCAAUGGGAAUAGAAAGACUCGAUGACAUUGAGAAAAAGAAAUUUCUAAUGACAGUGUUCUUCUUUGAUUUUGUUUUAAUUUAUUGUUGGAAGCUUGCUGUAUAAAUUCUGUAUAGAUAAUGAAAAUGAGCUUUGAUAGCUUUUUCUGUCAAUUAAAAAAAAUGAUAUGUUUUUUUCUUUGCACAUGUUUUUGUGACAUAAUUGUGUUUAAUUAUGUUUUUAAUUGCAAUAAAGAAGUAACCGAACUGUUACUCAAGUUUCUAAUCACUGUGAAAUUGAAAAGAUAGAGGGUUUACGUUAGAGCCCAACUAAUAACAGCUUCUUUAUAUGAGAGAACUAGGUAGUUUGGAUCUUGUUAUGGUUCUUCCAAAGCCUCUUUCCGCUUCUAAGUAUCUGGAAUACUGUUUCAAUGGACAAUAUAGCCACCAAAAAACAAAAUCAGUUUGAAUUAUUAUAAUUAUUUAUUAAUUGUUCAUCUUUUGUACGUAAAUAUAAAAUGCUUAUUUAACUUGAACUCCUGGUUAAAUCACACUUUACUCACACAUAAAUAAUACUUGAGCAAAUUGCAAGUAUACACACACACACACACACAUAUAUAUAUAUAUA